UGCUCACAUUGGUAGCACAAUACAAAAAUUGGAACAUUACAAAGAUUAGUAGGGCCCCUGUGUAAGGAUGACAAAAACUUUCAUGAAGCACUCCAUAUUUGG